GGCCGUGUGCAAGUACUGCUCGUACUAUGGUCUGACCCUAACUGUCAACAUUGCUAGCCAAGAACUGACGUGCAGUGAAUGAAGCCUGAUUGUUAAUUCUUACACCACAACAAACGUGUGGACCUUACACACUGUACCAGCAGAUGUAAAGGUUGCGACAGCGUAGCAAGGAAGGAACUGAUCACUGCAGUGAAUGAGGCAUUGUCAACUAUUGUAUGUUUGAGUGACCUGGAUGACUAGCCAAGCUGAGUGGCUGGUAAUCACAUAAUCCAGCUGUUCAACGCCUAGCAGCUGCUUUCAUCUCCAUAGCGAAAACUACACAGACCAUGACUGCAGUGAA